AUUUUUGAAGUAAGGAUUAUUAGUGAUACGCCUGUUGGGUAGGGGAGCGUUGUGUAAGCGGAUGAAGGUUAAUCGAGAGGUUAGCUGGACGUAUCACAAGUGCGAAUGCUGACAUAAGUAACGAUAAAACGGGUGAAAAACCCGUUCGCCGGAAGACCAAGGGUUCCUGUCCAACGUUAAUCGGGGCAGGGUGAGUCGGCUCCUAAGGCGAGGCUGAAAAGCGUAGUCGAUGGGAAACAGGUUAAUAUUCCUGUACUUGGUAAAGCUGCGAUGUGGGGACGGAGUAGGUUAGGUUAUCGCACUGUUGGAUAUGUGCGUUUAAGUUGGUAGGUGGGAAGUUUAGGCAAAUCCGGACUUCCUUAACACAGAGAGAUGAUGACGAGGCUCUACGGAGCUGAAGUAACUGAUACCACACUUCCAGGAAAAGCCACUAAGCGAAAGGCUUUACUAAACCGUACUGAAAACCGACACAGGUGGUCAGGUAGAGAAUACUCAGGCGCUUGAGAGAACUCGGGUGAAGGAACUAGGCAAAAUAGCACCGUAACUUCGGGAGAAGGUGCGCCGGCGUAGAUUGUAGUCCCUAGCGGGCGAAGGUUGAACCGGUCGAAGAUACCAGCUGGCUGCAACUGUUUAUUAAAAACACAGCACUCUGCAAACACGAAAGUGGACGUAUAGGGUGUGAUGCCUGCCCGGUGCUGGAAGGUUAAUUGAUGGUGUCAUCGCAAGAGAAGCACCUGAUCGAAGCCCCAGUAAACGGCGGCCGUAACUAUAACGGUCCUAAGGUAGCGAAAUUCCUUGUCGGGUAAGUUCCGACCUGCACGAAUGGCAUAAUGAUGGCCAGGCUGUCUCCACCCGAGACUCAGUGAAAUUGAAAUCGCCGUGAAGAUGCGGUGUACCCGCGGCUAGACGGAAAGACCCCGUGAACCUUUACUAUAGCUUGACACUGAACAUUGAAUUUUGAUGUGUAGGAUAGGUGGGAGCCUUUGAAGCAGUGACGCCAGUCAUUGUGGAGGCGACCUUGAAAUACCACCCUUUAACGUUUGAUGUUCUAACGAAGAUGACGAAACGUGGUCUCGGACAGUGUCUGGUGGGUAGUUUGACUGGGGCGGUCUCCUCCCAAAGCGUAACGGAGGAGCACGAAGGUUUGCUAAUCACGGUCGGACAUCGUGAGGUUAGUGCAAUGGUAUAAGCAAGCUUAACUGCGAGACAGACAAGUCGAGCAGGUACGAAAGUAGGUCAUAGUGAUCCGGUGGUUCUGAAUGGAAGGGCCAUCGCUCAACGGAUAAAAGGUACUCCGGGGAUAACAGGCUGAUACCGCCCAAGAGUUCAUAUCGACGGCGGUGUUUGGCACCUCGAUGUCGGCUCAUCACAUCCUGGGGC
rnacentral:rRNA from 1 species